rnacentral:rRNA from 1 species
CAGAUGGGAGCUUGCUCCCUGAUGUUAGCGGCGGACGGGUGAGUAACACGUGGGUAACCUGCCUGUAAGACUGGGAUAACUCCGGGAAACCGGGGCUAAUACCGGAUGCUUGUUUGAACCGCAUGGUUCAAACAUAAAAGGUGGCUUCGGCUACCACUUACAGAUGGACCCGCGGCGCAUUAGCUAGUUGGUGAGGUAACGGCUCACCAAGGCAACGAUGCGUAGCCGACCUGAGAGGGUGAUCGGCCACACUGGGACUGAGACACGGCCCAGACUCCUACGGGAGGCAGCAGUAGGGAAUCUUCCGCAAUGGACGAAAGUCUGACGGAGCAACGCCGCGUGAGUGAUGAAGGUUUUCGGAUCGUAAAGCUCUGUUGUUAGGGAAGAACAAGUACCGUUCGAAUAGGGCGGUACCUUGACGGUACCUAACCAGAAAGCCACGGCUAACUACGUGCCAGCAGCCGCGGUAAUACGUAGGUGGCAAGCGUUGUCCGGAAUUAUUGGGCGUAAAGGGCUCGCAGGCGGUUUCUUAAGUCUGAUGUGAAAGCCCCCGGCUCAACCGGGGAGGGUCAUUGGAAACUGGGGAACUUGAGUGCAGAAGAGGAGAGUGGAAUUCCACGUGUAGCGGUGAAAUGCGUAGAGAUGUGGAGGAACACCAGUGGCGAAGGCGACUCUCUGGUCUGUAACUGACGCUGAGGAGCGAAAGCGUGGGGAGCGAACAGGAUUAGAUACCCUGGUAGUCCACGCCGUAAACGAUGAGUGCUAAGUGUUAGGGGGUUUCCGCCCCUUAGUGCUGCAGCUAACGCAUUAAGCACUCCGCCUGGGGAGUACGGUCGCAAGACUGAAACUCAAAGGAAUUGACGGGGGCCCGCACAAGCGGUGGAGCAUGUGGUUUAAUUCGAAGCAACGCGAAGAACCUUACCAGGUCUUGACAUCCUCUGACAAUCCUAGAGAUAGGACGUCCCCUUCGGGGGCAGAGUGACAGGUGGUGCAUGGUUGUCGUCANCUCGUGUCCUGAAAUGUUGGGUUAAGUCCCGCAACGAGCGCAACCCUUGAUCUUAAUUGCCAGCAUUCAGUUGGGCACUCUAAGGUGACUGCCGGUGACAAACCGGAGGAAGGUGGGGAUGACGUCAAAUCAUCAUGCCCCUUAUGACCUGGGCUACACCCGGGCUUC